ACUAUUUAUUUAUGUUUAAUCUGCUUCUGUUUUGGCUGGAGGUUGAAGUUAGACUGGGUUGGGUUGGCAGAGGAGUUAAUGGUGGUAUGGCUGAUUUGCAGUGAUUACGACGGCACCCUUUCCAGCAACUUUGAACCAUCUUCAACCGGUGCAUAUAAGGGUGAAGGAAGAAGAAGGAGAAAAAAAGAAAGCUGUAGGUUACGUUGCCUUAUAUUAUAAGUGAGAAGCUUGGGUGGUGUUGGAAAGCAUUAUCCAACUGCCAAAUGGGUUGUCAUGUCUCAGAAAAAGAAGAACAAGCACAAUCAGUAAGGCAUAAACAGCAAGUUUAGGCGCUGAUGGCAAAGAGAACUCAGAAAUAUGUAAUGGUGGUUAUUUGGCAGGAACCACAUGUGAUUGAUUGUGCUUUGUUUUGUUUGUACAUCUCACAAUUAGUGAUCCAUUCUUGGUGGUGUUGCCGAAGGGGAUAGAUUAAUAGUUGUUGGAUAGACUUUUUUAUCCUUUUGAUGAGUCAAGUAUGUACUGAAUGAUCUUAAAAAAAUGGUGAGCAUAGCAGCGCAUAAAGAAGGUAAUAUUUUACAACCGAUCAACACCUAAUUUUUUAUUUUUUAAUCUUUUGGCAUUUCAUCUGAUGCAUAUGUUCAGUUUAGAUUGCCAAUUAAAAUCAAAGUAUAUCCAAACUCAGAAUUGAGAAAUUUGAUGUCAGCUGCUGACAUUUUUCUUUUUUUAAUGUUAAUUGGAAUCUCUUUUUCUUCCUAUCUUCCCCUCUCCUUUUCUUUUUUGGUGUUUUGAUUUGGUUGUACAAAGAAUAUAGGAUAAUAGGAACCAAGACUGCUGGACAAAUAAGGAGCCAUGCAUAGAAAUUCUUCACAAAGGCAAAAGAUAAGUCAGGACAAGAGCCUUUACCAUCCAAGAGUCAAACCCAAUCAACUGAUGGGAAUUUGCAUGGAACGGAUACAAAUGAAAGUGUUCAUGGUAGCAAUCUUGAAGACGCCACGAUAUCAGAUACUGAACUUUCAACAAGAUUGCAGUCUAUUAAGCAGCUUUUUGUCGAGCGCAGCGACAGUUACAACAUUCCACAACUCAAAAGGCUUUACUCACGAAUGAUGAAGAGGGUUUCCCAAACCAAACUUGAUUGUAAGACCUCAGCUUUGAGUUUUUUAUUAAACUUUGUUAAGGAUGAUCCAAAUUUUUAAAUUACUGUGAAGAAGGGAAAGGUUCUAAGUUGAAGGUCAUAAUACACAAAUCAAACUAAAUAAAUUUAUUUACAGGCAUUCUUUUCCUCAAAUCCAGAGUAGCAUAGCUAUAGGAAACCACAAGAUGUAGCUAUAGGAUGCUACGAUUUAUUGUCUAUGGUAAUUACAUGCCAAAUUCUGCUGGCAUGGAUAAAUUUUACAAGUUGGCAUUUUUUAAGAUAUUUUUGUUGUUUAGAUAUUGAAAUUGAUGUUUAGAUAAUUUUUUGUUGAAAGGUACUUUUAAGAUAAUUCUUUA